rnacentral:rRNA from 1 species
GAUGAACGCUAGCGGGAGGCCUAACACAUGCAAGCCGAGCGGUAUUGUUUCUUCGGAAAUGAGAGAGCGGCGUACGGGUGCGGAACACGUGUGCAACCUGCCUUUAUCUGGGGGAUAGCCUUUCGAAAGGAAGAUUAAUACUCCAUAACAUAUUGAACGGCAUCGUUUAAUAUUGAAAGCUCCGGCGGAUAGAGAUGGGCACGCGCAAGAUUAGCUAGUUGGUGAGGUAACGGCUCACCAAGGCGAUGAUCUUUAGGGGGCCUGAGAGGGUGAUCCCCCACACUGGUACUGAGACACGGAACAGACUCCUAUGGGAGGCAGCAGUGAGGAAUAUUGGUCAAUGGGUGCAAGCCUGAACCAGCCAUCCCGCGUGAAGGACGACUGCCCUAUGGGUUGUAAACUUCUUUGUAUAGGGAUAAGCCUACCCUCGUGAGGGUAGCUGAAGGUGCUAUACGAAUAAGCACCGGCUAACUCCGUGCCAGCCGCCGCGGUAA